rnacentral:lncRNA from 1 species
CAUGUGAUUCAUGUUAAAAAAUAUAUACUUAGAAACAUAUAAAUAUGUGCACGUUAUUAAAGCACGGAAGAUUAAGAGAGCAAUACGAAACAUACAAAAAAAAUAUGAUGCUCACAUUAUUAAACAUGAAACACAUACAACAUUCUCAAAACAAAUUGUACAUUCAAAUCAAAGAAAUUAUUAAUAUGUUAAAAUUCCACCAAACAAAAUUAUAAAAGAAAAAACCUUAAAAAAAGUUAGUUAACACAAUGCGUCUACCCCA